GCAAGUCUGGUGCCAGCAGCCGCGGUAAUUCCAGCUCCAAUAGCGUAUAUUAAAGUUGUUGUGGUCAAAAAGCUCGUAGUCGAACCUUGGGCCUGGCUGGCCGGUCCCCCUCACCGGGUGCACUGAUCCAGCCGGGCCUUUCCCUCUGUGGAACCCCAUGGCCUUCACUGGCUGUGCGGGGGAAACAGGACUUUUACUGUGAAAAAAUUAGAGUGCUCCAGGCAGGCCUAUGCUCGAAUACAUUAGCAUGGAAUAAUAGAAUAGGACGUGUGGUUCUAUUUUGUUGGUCUCUAGGACCGCCGUAAUGAUUAAUAGGGACAGUCGGGGGCAUCAGUAUUCAAUUGUCAGAGGUGAAAUUCUUGGAUCUAUUGAAGACUAACUACUGCGAAAGCAUUUGCCAA
rnacentral:rRNA from 1 species